rnacentral:misc_RNA from 1 species
GGAAGGAUCAUUAAAGAAAUGUGGCUUCGGCCGUUUUCUAACCCUGAUUACAUUCUUUGUUGCUCCGGCGCUUCGGUGCCGGCGCCAUUCAAAACUCUUUUUAUGAAUUGUCUGAACAACAUUAAACAAGUUAAAACUUUCAACAACGGAUCUCUUGGUUCCCGCAUCGAUGAAGAACGCCGCGAAACGCGAAAUGUGAUGUGAAUUGCAGAAUUUAGUGAAUCAUCGAAUCUUUGAACGCACAUUGCGCCUGCUUGCAGGCAUGCCCGUUCGAGCGUCGCUUACAAGUUAGUACUCCUUUUUUGGAGGACUGUGUUGGAUGAGCCCGAGCGGCCAUCCUUAAAACAACUGCCUUGACAGUGCCGAUCACGGUUGACAGGAGUCGUCCGCGGCGCUGGCUGGUGCAAAAACACUAGUACUUUUGACCUCGAAUCGGGUAGGAAUACCCGCUGAACUUAAGCAUAUCAAUAAGCGGAGGAAAAGAAACCAACCGGGAUUGCCCUAGUAACGGCGAGUGAAGCGGCAUCAGCUCAGAUUUGAAAGCCGGCAACAGCCUGCAUUGUAAUCUGCAGAGGCGUGGAUCGGGUGCGACAUUGGCCUAAGUCCCCUGGAACGGGGCGUCAUAGAGGGUGAGAAUCCCGUAUUCGGCCGUCCGUCAAUCCUAUUUGAAGCGCACUCGACGAGUCGAGUUGUUUGGGAAUGCAGCUCAAAGCGGGUGGUAAAUUCCAUCUAAAGCUAAAUACCGGCGGGAGACCGAUAGCGCACAAGUAGAGUGAUCGAAAGAUGAAAAGCACUUUGGAAAGAGAGUUAAAAAGCACGUGAAAUUGUUGAAAGGGAAGCGCUUGCAAUCAGACUUGGUUGCGGUUGAUCAUCCGGCGUUCUCGCCGGUGCACUCUGCCGUAUUCAGGCCAGCAUCAGUUGCGGCGGUGGGACAAAGGCGUUGGGAAUGUGGCUCCUCGGAGUGUUAUAGCCCAGCGUGUCAUGCCACCAGCUGCGACUGAGGUCCGCGCUUUUGCUAGGAUGCUGGCGUAAUGGUUGUAAGCGACCCGUCUUGAAACACGGACCAAGGAGUCUAACAUCUAUGCGAGUGUUUGGGCGUUAAACCCGCACGCGUAAUGAAAGUGAACGUAGGUGGGAACCCUUUCGGGGGCACCAUCGACCGAUCCUGAUGUAUUCGGAUGGAUUUGAGUAUGAGCAUAGCUGUUGGGACCCGAAAGAUGGUGAACUAUGCCUGAAUAGGGUGAAGCCAGAGGAAACUCUGGUGGAGGCUCGCAGCGGUUCUGACGUGCAAAUCGAUCGUCAAAUUUGGGUAUAGGGGCGAAAGACUAAUCGAACCAUCUAGUAGCUGGUUCCUGC